rnacentral:rRNA from 1 species
AUAGAUCCGUAACUUCGGGAAAAGGAUUGGCUCUAAGGGUUGGGUGUGUCGGGCCUUGACUGGAAGCCUCGGGACCCAGCUGGGACUGCUUGGGGGGCAACCUCUGGGUGGACCUGGCCAGGACCUGGGUGUGGAUGGUCUUGGCUGCCCUUACGGGGCGUCCGGCGCACGCUUAACAACCGACUUAGAACUGGUACGG